rnacentral:rRNA from 1 species
UACGGAGGGUGCAAGCGUUGUCCGGAUUUAUUGGGUUUAAAGGGUGCGUAGGUGGCCCUAUAAGUCAGUGGUGAAAGCCUGCAGCUUAACUGUAGGAUUGCCAUUGAUACUGUAGGGCUUGAGUACUGAUGAGGUAGGCGGAAUUGAUAGUGUAGCGGUGAAAUGCAUAGAUAUUAUCAAGAACACCGAUUGCGAAGGCAGCUUACUAAGGAGUUACCGACACUGAGGCACGAAAGCGUGGGGAUCAAACAGG